GAGGAGCAGGGCCGGGCCAGCGGACGAACGCGGGGCGGGCGGGAGGCGCUGAGGCGUCUGAGGCUGCCCGGCCGCAAGGAGGCAGGCGGGAGGCCUGGGGUGCAGAAUUGGGGCGGUGGGCUCCCUCCACCCCCUCAGCCCUCCGCCCGGGCCCCGGUGGCCAGGCCUCACGUGCCCGCAGGCCUGGGGAGGUGGAGACGCCAGGAGCGGGGGUUCGCGCGGAGGCCUUCACGGCGCGGCCAGGUGAUGGUGGGUCCCUGUGUUUCUCCUGACGAAAGGGGACCCUCGGAGCGGCCGUGCCCCUGGGCUGCCCCCGAGAGGCGUUUUGACAUCGGCCUUAGGGAAGUCGGGGAGCCCUGAGCCCGCCGGUCUCCGUUAAGUGCCCUUAGGAUGCAGUGAUUAAGGAAUUAGGCUCUCCCUCCGGGAGGGGCACUGCCUGUGCGUGUGAACUCGUGUGCAGAGAAACAGGACAGGAUGAUGCUGUCCGAGCAAGCCCAAAAGUGGUUUCCAACCCACGUGCAGGUCACAGUGCUCCAAGCCAAAGAUCUAAAGCCAAAAGGCAAAAGUGGCACCAAUGACACAUACACUAUAAUUCAGCUGGGCAAGGAAAAGUACUCCACCUCUGUAGCUGAGAAAACCCUUGAGCCAGUCUGGAAGGAGGAGGCCUCUUUUGAGCUACCUGGAUUGCUAAUGCAGGGGAAUCCAGAUAAAUACAUUCUUUUCCUUAUAGUCAUGCACAGGUCCCUGGUGGGUCUGGAUAAAUUUUUAGGGCAGGUGGCAAUCAAUCUCAAUGACGUCUUUGAGGACAAACAAAGAAGGAAAACAGAGUGGUUUAGAUUAGAAUCCAAACAAGGAAAACGAAUCAAAAACAGGGGUGAGAUAAAGGUCAAUAUUCAAUUUAUGAGGAACAAUAUGACUGCAAGUAUGUUUGACUUAUCAAUAAAGGACAAAACCAGAUCUCCUUUUGCAAAGUUAAAAGAUAAGAUGAAAGGUAGAAAAAAUGAUGGAACAUUUUCUGAUACGUCUUCUGCAAUCAUUCCAAGUACUCACAUGCCCGACGCCAAUACUGAAUUUUCAGCUGGUGAAAUACAGAUGAAAUCCAAACCAAAAAAGCCUUUUCUUUUGGGUCCUCAGCGACUCUCAUCAGCGCAUUCAAUGUCUGAUUUAUCUGGGUCCCACAUGUCUUCUGAGAAACUGAAGGCUGGCACCAUAGGUCAAACACAUCUUCUCAGACACCAGUUAGAUUCCUUUGGAGCAGUUCCAGAAAGUGGAAGUCUCAAAUCUCCACACAGAAGAACAUUGAGCUUUGAUACUUCUAAAAUGAACCAACCUGACAGCAUUGUGGAUGAAGGUGAAUUGUGUUUCAGAGGACAAAAUGACCCAUUUACAAAUGUGACUGCUUCAUUACCCCAAAAAUUUGCAACACUGCCAAGGAAGAAAAAUCCGUUUGAAGAAAGCAGUGAAACAUGGGACAGCAGCAUGAGUUUAUUUUCAAAACCAAUCGAAAUAAGAAAAGAAAAUAAAAGAGAGAAAAGGGAGAAAGUUAGCCUGUUUGAAAGAGUUACUGGAAAAAAAGAUAGCAGAAGAUCUGAUAAACUUAACAAUGGGGGAUCUGAUAGCCCUUGUGACUUGAAAUCACCUAAUGCAUUUAGUGAAAAUCGCCAGGACUAUUUUGAUUAUGAGUCAACCAAUCCAUUUACAGCAAAAUUCAGGGCUUCCAAUAUAAUGCCAUCUUCAAGAGUCCUGGAACCAGUCUCUCUCAGAUACUGAAAGACGACUGUGAUUAUCUUGGAAGAGCAUGCUAGAGUGUUUGCCACGUAACAGAAGAUUUUCUUCAAGACAAUAAUGUAGAAUAUACAGACCUGAAUGGGAAUGCUGGCUUAGAAGUGCUGUGACCUCCGUAAACCUCAGCAUCUCCAUCUUUGAAACAAGGAAAAUAAUCCCGCUUGAUAGGAUUCAGUGAGGAUAAAUGAUAUUAUAUAUAAAGUACAUAAUACAAAUGCAGGCCCUAAAUAGAGAACCCAUAAAUGGUGACUUCAAUUAUGUUUGAUGUAUUGUCAUGUUAUAUUUUACUAAAAAACAGUGCUUUGUUUUGUCCCACUAGAAACAGCAAAUUCAGUAUUAACAGUCAAUCACGCUUUUAGGCUGUGCCCUUCCACCUCUCUUACAUAUCUUACAUGAUAUUUUAAAAACUUGCUUUUAAAAUUUUCAAAGUGAAGUGUACUUUUUUUUUCUUUUGCCUAUAAAUGGAUAUUUGCCAUGGUUUAAAAGAGUAUUCAGUUCUGUUUAUAGACCAUACUCCAGAAAAAUAACCUUUUUAUCAUAUGCUAUCAAUAUUUUAUUGAAGACUUCAUAGGUUUGAUAUGCCAUUCAAAAAUAUUUUGAUAUUUUAUAUAGCGUACUUCCCAUAUUACAUUGUCUUAAAUUAUAUGGGCAAAUAGAAAUAUAUUUGCUUCUUUCCCCCUUUACUAAACUUUUUUUUAAUAGAAGAUUGUUGGAAACAACUGUCUGAGAUAACUUGGAGAUUGGGCAGUUUAGCUAAUUUUAGAGUCAAGGAAAACCAAGAAAAUGGAAAAUGGUAGGAAAAUAGUGUUUUUACAUUAUGGGUACGUAUGGGAAAAGAAAAAGCUUAUGAGUAUUCUCAAAUCUUUGAUUACCCUAUACUUGAGCUGUUUACAUGGACUGUUACGGGUUUUAAAAAUGAGUGUGGCAUUUUGACAGAUCUAGGCUUUGUUUUUAGUUACUUUAUUAUUAAUGGCUCUUUCUAUCAAAAUUAGAGAUGUUUUAUGAUGUAUAAAAUGAUUGCAAGUAUAAAAAAGUUGUUUUUUGUUUUAUGAAUUUCUCUUCUUCAUAUUUAUGGGAUGCCAGAUAUGAGGACAGAACAUUUGUGGAUUCCUAGGAAGUUAUUCUUUUUGCAUCACAAACCAUCCGUGUGGUAAAUAUGAAACAUUUGCAGUAAAGGGAUAAUUCUAGUUAAUCUUAUAAAAAAGAAGAAUUGAAUAUAAAUAGACCCAACAAGAGAGUGCACUUCACACUUUUGGCAAGCAGCUUUAUCUUGAGUGGAAUUUGGGAUGAUAUUGCCAAGGUAGCGUUGUCAUUACAUAACGGUAUAUUCCUAUUUUUCCUCCCAGUAUCAACCCUCAGUUAUCUGGGACAUUGUAAAUUUCUCACGUUAACAUCCUAACCGCAUGCACUUUUGGAGCUACGGACUCACAUCAGUAGGACACGUGCUGUGAAUUUUUUUCAGGAGGACUAAAUAGACCUAUUUACGGUUUCCUGGCCUCUUGUGGCCAGUGUUUGUGAGAAUGCUGAGCAAAGUUAAGGGUAAAAUACAUAGCUCUGGAAUUGCAUUUCCUUCUUGGUGGGUGAACUGGCUCACUUGUGACUGCAGAUACCUAGGAACCAUAUUGUUACCCUCUGGUUGAAUAAUGUAUAUGAUUAAAACUGGAGAAUUUUCUUUAUGCCAAAAAUUUUAAGAUAUACUAAGGUACACUUUUUUUUUUUAAAGUUAGACUUUAUUUCUUAGUGUAAGUAAAGUCUACCUGAAGAAAGUAUUUUGGAAACCACAAAAAAUACCACAUUUUGAUUCUGUCCUUGGAAUAGGUUCCAUAGUUUUACAUAAAACUGAUAGAGGAAAUUAGGCCUUUUCUUGGGUUACUUCAGCAAAGAACAGGGCUCUUUGAAACACUUUUUCCCAAAGUUACUAAUUUGCAGUCGCUUAACGCCCCUGUUUCUUUGGAGCCUUUCCUGUUCUCAUAGGGAGACAUAGUUGUUCACUGUGCUGCAGCAUUUGCUUACGUAAGUCCUACGUGGGCAUGACAUUGUUCACUAACAGCUUAGUCUCACUUUUCUUACCCACUACCAUGAAGAGUUUGGUGGCAGGAUCUGCAUUUCAUUCCUCUUUUUGCCCUGAGUCUCCAGCGUGAUGCUUGCUUGCUACUAAGAAGUCGGGAUGCUGUCCAAUGCUGGCAUGCUGUAAAACUCCUACGACACAUAUACAGUAAGUAGAGUUGGAGUUCUUGUAAUCUUCAAGAGAAUAUUUUCUCAGUUUAUUAUUGGCACUAAGUUGUAUUUUAAAAUUGCUAUUAGUCGUGCUUUUUAAUUGUAAGUCACAGGUAGUUUAGCAUCAUCAGUAUCAACUAAUUUUUUUUUAUCAUUUAUCCAAUAAAUUGUCAACUAACUUAUAUGGUUUAUCCCAUAAUUUGCAAAGUAAUUCUUUUUUUAAUCAGCAGUAUAUCAUUUGCUAAAAACAAAUGUGCCCAGAUAUUUGUUAUACCAUUUUCAAUAAUUUGUUCACAACAAAUUAUCUUUUAAUAAAUUAUAAAUAAUGUAACAAAUUAUAAAUAAUGCUAUCACUAGGCUAUUUUUUCACUUAAAAGUGGAAAUGAUGGGCGUUUUCAUCAAGCCAAAUUUGUUGAUCCUCCCUCUUUCUUUUUCUUUCUUUCUUUUCUUUCUUUUUCUUUCCUUCCUUCCUUCUUUCUUUUCUUUUCUUUUGUAACUAGGACAUAGCAAGUUCUGGCUUAUUUAAGACUUCACGGAAGAGAGGUAUACCACUUCCAGGUCUGACCCAUGGAAUGUCCUCUUAACACAGUCCUCCAUUUUGCCUCUUUCUCCAUAUUAUCCUGUACCAGGGAUUGGCAAAGUAAGAUUGGAGGCCACAUCUGGCUUGAUGCCAGUUUUUGUAAAGUUUUAUUGGAACACAGCCACAUUAUGGUCAUUAUUGUGUUAUAGUGGUAGAGUUGAGUAGUUGUGACGGAGACCAUAUGGCCAGCAAAACUAAAAAUAUUUAUUAUUUGGGCUUUACAGAAAUGGUUUGCUGACCCCUCAGUAGCUGAAUGGAGAGGAUCUUUGAGAUGGGCAGAGCUAUAAGUAGGAGCAGCCUGGGUCUCUGCAUGCAAGUAGAAGGUCCACCUGACCAGGAAUAACCAAGUGGCACUUGUCUGAAUAAUAAGUUCAUGGGAUAUAAGUUACUGAGGGGUGUGUGUGUGUGUGUGUGUGUGUGUGUGUAUGUAUGUAUAUAUUUUAUAGCACUUAGCAUUAUUUGUACUACUGAGGAGGGCACAUGGACCAUAGUACCUUUUGUUAUGUUUAAGAAAGCUGUAGUCCAAAAAGUUUAAGAGCCACUGCUUUGCAACACCAAAUCCAAACUCCUCUUUUUAACUUUAUAAGGCUUAUGGUAUUUUAGGCUUUUCUUAACCUUCCAAGUUUUCUUUUAAUAUUCCUCACUAACCUGUUCUAGGUAAGUUAAUUUCCUUACUACAUGUGAUGUCCUUAUAAGCCAUGCCAUCUUCAUUCCUGGGCUCAAUUGUGGGGUGCACUCUCAACUCAUCUCUGAGUAUCCUUUUUUGAGUAAUAACCUCAUGUUGCCCUUUGGACUUCUGCUGAUGUAGAAGAAGUAAUUACUGUACAGUGUUUAUUGUGCCUAGGUCUUAUAUUAAGCUGUAGAAGCUUAACUGUGAUGCAGAAUCUUCUUUCUUGGGUGCCCCACAGCACCUAGAUUUGUGCAAGACCUCAGUGCUGAUCAUCAGGAGCUCCUAGAGAUUUUGGGGUUUUUUUUAGUUACAGUUUGUUGGGCCUCCCCUCUGACUAAAUUAGAAUCUCUAGUGAGUGGAUCCUGAAAUGAAAAUCAACAAUUUUAACAACUUCCCAUUGACUAUCAGGUUUAAAAAUUGCUGAUUAUAUUAUAUCACCUACAGUGGUCCCCUUUAAUCUGUGGGAAUACGUUCCAAGACCCCCAGUGGAUUCCUGAAACCAGGCACAGUGCUGAACCCUAUAUAUCCUAUGUUUUUUUUCUAUACAUAUAUACCUAUGAUAAAGUUUAAUUCAUAAAUUAGGCACAGUAAGAGAGUAACAAUAGUAAUAAAAUAGAACAAUUACAACAAUAUGCCAGUGUCACUCCUCUUGCACAUUGGGGCCAUUAUUAAGUAAAAUAAGGUCUACUCAAACACAAGCACUGUAAUACCGCAGCAGUUGACCUGAUAACCAAGAUGGCUACUAAGUAACUAGUGAGCAGGCAGUGUAGACAGCAUGGAUACACGGAGCAAAGGGACUGAACAAAGGAAUGAUUCACAUCCCAGGCAGGACAGAAUCGGAUGCCCUACCCUUUCAUCAGGCUAUUCAGAAAGGCAUAGAACCUAAAACUUAUGAAUUAUUUCUGGAAUUUUCCAUUUAAUAUUUUUGGACCAUAGGUGACCAUGGGUAACUGAAAUAGUGGAAAGUAAAACCACAGUUAAAGGGGUGGGGCCACUUUAUUUCCUAAGCUUUCAGUAAGUAUUCAUUGUUAAUGGGAAUCAGGAAUUGCGCGGGCAAAUGCAUACUUAAAUUAGUCAACUUAGUCAUAUUAGCUCUGCUUGCAGGUCCCUAACUAAGGUAGAGGGUACAGUAAGGAAGUUAGCUUGGCUAAAACAGAGUUGUGGUGGAAAGGAGUAAAAGAUAUGGCUAAAUAGGUUAAACACACACACAUACACCCCAAUUAUAGUGAGCAUUGAAGACCAGGCAGAAAUUUCUGACUAUGAAAUAUUUAUGGCAUCUAUGGAUGAAUUGUUUCUCAGGAUGGAGGUAAAACCUGAGGGUCAAUAGUGAUGAAUGACACUUAAAAAUAUGCUUCUGUUUGUAAGCUACCCAUGGUAAAUCAAGGAGAAACUCCAUAAUGUGGAUUCUUCAGAGGUCUAAGUUCCUCAAAAAAGUUCAGGACAACAGAACUCCACCUACUGAAGGGAAUUCUGCUUGAGAGAAUAAGGAGAAAAUUGCUUAAGUAUGUCUUAUUUUGAAAUAAAAAAAAAUCAAUAUAAGCCUACUACUCUGUGUGAUGUGUUUCUGUUGUUUGAUGUUAGAGGGGCAGCUGUUCCGAGGGCAAGAAUUUAACGGGAGAUAUUUUUACCAAAGAAUUUUGUUUGGGAACUGUCCUAUUUGUGACGCGUGCAAAGAACAUGCUUUCGUUUCAUUAUUUUCUGCUCUACUGUAGUUUGAAUGCCAUGUAGCAAAUUCCUAGCUACUUUAGGAUAACUAAAUAUAUGCUCUGUAAUAUUUCUAGUAUUACUGAUUUUACAAAAGCAGGUAUUUUCAUUUUUAAUGGUUGGUGGAAGAGCCGUCUUAGCAGAUGAUCUUACACCAAAUAGUUAUGUUUUAGGAUGGUACAGAAAUAGUAUCUAAGAUCAAGACUUCCUAUUUAUCACUAAUGUUUUAGUAAUUUUGCAUGGCAGUGUGCUUUCCACUUCUGAGGUCAGGUCUACCUACUUCCCUCCCUCCCUCCCUUCCUUCUUUCUUUCCUUAACGAGUCAAUUCCUGUCUGUGCUUGUGUCAUACCUUCCUUAGGAGCUCCAAAAAAAAUUGGUUACCUAGAAUGUAUAUUUAAGUGUGUUUCUGAUUUUCACAAAUCACCAUAAGCUUAUAAGCAUGUAGCUAUUUUUAUGAAAUUAUGUAACAUGUUCAUUAAAAAUCAAAGACUACUGUGUAAUUUACAUUUUUAUUUUUAAAAAGUAUAGUAAAUAAAUGAUCCUGAGUAAAAGAGUCUAUUGAUAGUUUUUAAACCUUUAUUUUUGUAAUGUCUCUUAUGGACAUUUUUUUCCCAAAUGAGUUUAAAGUUCAAUUGUUGGCAUCAUAAACCUUAACUUGCAAAGGGUUUGUUUCCAUAGCAAUAUUUACUUUUUUGCUUAUAUUUGUCUAGUAUUGAAGAUAAUUUACCUGUUAUGCAUGGUAGGCUAUACAUCUUUUACAGACCUGAAAAUUUGUGCCUUCAUUUAAGAGACAGAAAACAAAAACUUUUGAGAUGAUUUUUAGAGCCAUUAAUCCAUUAGGGCCCAGGGAUUUACAGAAUGUAUCCAAUGAAGCAAUGACUGUGAACACAAAAUAUGCAACGUGAUUAGUUCCCUUAACACUAACUAGAACUUUUAUGUUUAACUCCCCAGAUACUACUUGAAACUUUUUUACCCUUUGUCAUCCUAAUACUCAUUAUAAUAGCUCUCAUUAAUUGGUGCAUCUCCCAGUGGGUUAAUUUGCAGAUACCAGCCAUGGCAUCCUUGUGCUAAUUCAGUAAUGCAAAUUGAUAUUUAUAGUCUUCAAAAUUGAAAACCAAAAAAAAGCUCUGUAACAAAAAAGACAAACUUUGCCUUUUUUUUUUUCCUUGAGAGAGAGAUUGAGAUGUAGCGAGAUUCUGAGAGAGAAGAAAACAAGCCAAAAAAGUUCACAAAAACUAUUGUAGGCUAAUAAACUGAUGUGAAAAUUUCUCAAUUUACAGCACUUGACAGGUGCUAAAAGAAAAGCAUCUUUAAUUUUAAUGUGUUGUUAGGACCUCUUUAGAGAGACUGUACAAGUUAUUAACAAGGUCCUCUGAGACAGGAGACGGGUAAUUAACAAGACCUAUGGAGAUAUAGUUUAGGUAAUUAACGAGCUCUUAGGCACUGGACACAGGAUAACACAUAGCGAGUCCAAUAGUUAGAGAACAGGUUGUUAUGAUAUGAUCAAAUAUAAGAUACAACAUGUAAGCCCUCUUGAGGUUUCUGAUAGGAAAGUAUUAAGAUUAUAUUCCAGUGACCCCAGUGCACUGAUUUUUGUGAACCAGUAUGUAAGGUUUUUGGUUUAACUUUUAAGCAGCAUUUGAGAGAAUUGUUUUUAAUUGUUCUUACAUGUAGAUUAAUAAUCUUUGUUGAUUGCCAUUAAUAAACAUUUAUAUUUUGAGAAAAAUACAUUGGAAACACAUCAGUUGUAUGAUUCUAAAUUGUCUUAAACAUUUAUUUUCAGUGUAUUUUUUACCUGUGGCCUGUCAGCUAAAAUUGCCUAUUGGAAAUUAACCUUGUUUUCCUUGUCUGCUUUAAAACAGUCAGGAUCUAGGCAAUGAGGAGACACUGCCCUGACACCAGUUUGGUUUUUACCUUAGCAUUAGACUAUUAUGCACAGGUUCCUUCAGUCACGCCCCUGUGCUACCUUCACGUCUGAGAUUUUAUAUUCCCAACUUCAAAUAUUUGGUCCAGUUAUUUCCUGUGUAAAUUUGAAAUUGCUGAGGUAUGAAUCUUGAGUUUUUCCUAGAAAAUUCCCACUUUCAGCAAACAUUUGUUAAGAACAUGUUAUACUUUAAAGGUUAAGAAUAUAAAGAAGGCCCUUGUGAGGCUCCUGAUUCAUUCUAUUACCUGCUGUCUCAGUGAUGCUAUUCUAGUCCAUCAGGAUAAUUUUUUUCUGAAUUUCAGCUCUGAAAAUCAAAUGAUAUUUUCAUUAUUAUUUUUGGAAUAUUUGCUGUAUAUAAAGAAGUCAUAGUAUUGAUCCUGCUUUGUGUGCUCGUAGAAAAAGAUGUGUAAAUAUUAGGUCUGAAAUCUAUGCUAAGGGUUGGACAUUGUAUAGACACUGGGGAACCAUGAAAGUGUUUAAGUUGGUUUGUGAUAAGAUUGAAUUAAUGUCUUCUAUCAUGAAGUAGCUGUUGAGGAUUGAGAAUGGGAAGGGAAAGGAGGACUUGAGGCAGGGAAACUAGUUAGGAAGUUAAUAUAAUUUUUGUGGUGAGAGUUGAUGGAGGUCAUUUGGCAGUGAGGAGGGAGAAGAAAGGAACAUCUUUGAGAAAUAUUUCCUCAUUAUGGGACUUACACAUUCUGCUUUUGGGUAAUGGACAGUGUGGGGGACUGGUAAGGGAGAAGAGAAUAAAAAGCCAGUGAUAUGUCUUCAGCUGAUGUCUUAAGUUUAAUGAAACGUAGCAUUUUAAAAUCCAUUUGGUUUAGUACAGCAAUACCAGGUACAACGAUAUAGUCUUUGAAUCAAACUUAGGAUUGAAGUCUUGAUAGAAAGGUUUGAAUUUUUUCUUUUUGUUUUCUUAGUGAGGUGCUAUCUUGUUUAUUUUAGGGUUUUUUUUUGAGACUAGGAAUUAUGUGUUUUGAAUUUGUUUGAGACUGAAAACAGUAGUGGCAUUUGAAAGUUUGUUUUUCAACACUGAAAUACUUUGGCUUCCUUGAACAUAAGAGUGGUAAUUUCAGUCACUGUGGAUGUAUGCAUUUAAAGUGUUUUCUUCACCUUAACAUUGAAAUUACUAAAUAUAUUUCUCUGAGGUGGUUUUGGCUUUACCAAAUCUUGUCUCUGUUGGACGCUUUUUGUUUGUCACUAAGAGGAUAACAUCUAUUUCUUAUAUAAUUAGCCCUCACUUCUGUGGACACUACUUUUCCAGGCUUCUAUGCCUAGAACAUUUCCAGUUGGGCCACUGUGAUCACGUUAUCUGUAAUUACUGUUUUCCCAUGACAAUGCUUUAACUUUUGAAAUACAGGUAGCGUUCCUGUAUAUUUAAUUUAUGGUAAUACUGUUACCUUGUGGCCAAGGUGUUUUAUUCAUGUAUUUAUUUUAUUAUUAUUAUUAUUUUUUUUUAGGUGGAGUUUCACUUCUUGUCACCCAGGCGGGAGUGCAAUGGCGCAAUCUCGGCUCACUGCAACCUCCGCCUCCUGGGUUCAGGCAAUUCUCCUGCCUCAGCCUCCUGAGUAGCUGGGAUUACAGGCACACGCCACCAUGCCCAGCUAAUUUUUGUAUUUUUAGUAGAGAUGGGGUUUCACCAUGUUGACUAGGGUGGUCUCGAUCUCUUGACCUUGUGAUCCACCUGCCUCGGCCUCCCAAAAUGCUGGGAUUACAGUCUUGAGCCACCGCACCUGGCCUGGCCAAGGUGUUUUAAAUAGCUGCUGGUGAUACAAAUUAAUUAUGAAGUGAUUUUUUUUUUACAUGCAUGCAACUGGUUUCUAAGACUGUUAGGAUCCAGAUGUUUGACAUUUGUGUCUUUGAACUUACAUUUUAAGGAUGAAUUCUUGCUCUUUGUUUUGAUAUAUUACAUAAAAUAUAUUGCUAUGUAAUAAGUACUUAUAAUUAUUAAAAUAUUUAUUAUAUAUUUAAUACAAUAUAUGCAAAAUAAAAUGUUCUUAUAUAUUUUAUAUAUUGAAGCGUAGAAAUCUUGGAUGUAAAAAGCAAUUAGUUGAAUCAGCGUGGCCUUCUUAGAGUACACCUUAAUUCAAAUUGCUAUUAAGAAAAAAAUGUUUAACUAAUGUGUGUGUUAAGCUCUGCUAGGGUUGGGGAAGUAUGGGGGAUGACAUUCUUAGCCACACCAGCUAUGGAGAGGGAUGUGUAAGAAAUGACCUAUAAUCAAAGCGGAAUAAACUGUGUUAAACAGAAGUACUUGGAGCUUAUUGUGGAAAGGUAGACGACAGAGCAGUUCAGUCUACUGGAAACUGGGAAAUGCUUCUUCAGUGGGGAGCUUGAUCUUGGCCAUGGAACAUCAUUUUGUAAGUUGGGGAAUUAGUAGAUAGACCACUCUGUUUUAGUAAUGGCAAUAAAGCGCAUUUUCAAAAUUAUUAGGUAUGUUUUGAAGGGAUUAUUUACAAAAAGUGACUAAAUACUCUUAUAUCAUUAGCUCUUUAUUAACAGCUUAGUAAUUUUACCAUUUCUUUUCUAGUUGGAGUCAUGGAGCUAUAUUCCAUGUCAUUCCCUGACUGGUAGGUUCCAGAGGAAGUGUGUUUGCUACUUUAGGGCUACCAAGGAGCCAAUUAGUGAGUGCCCUGCAGCAGCUCUGCAUUAAGUAUAAUGAACUCUUUGUUACGGAGCCUGGUAUGGGAAUGGGGGUGUUCUAGUUAAUCACAUAUUUUGUUUACUAGAGGUAUACAAUGCAUUUGUUUCAUAGAGAUUUUUUAUCUUCAAAGAAAUUAAAUGCUUCAAAUAAUUAAAAGUGAAAAUCAUACUGAACAUGAUUUAAUAUUUGUUUCAGAAAGUACAUUUGAUUCACUUCUUUUACUGAAAGGUUUUACAGUACAACAUGAAAACAUUGAAAUACUAAUAAUAGGAUGUUCUGAAGGGAGUAUAGGAUAAGUAUUAAGAGUUCAGAUUUAGAAGUCAGGUCUGCAUUUGAGUCUUUGUUAGCUGUGUGGCCUUACUUAACCUCUACACCUCAUUUUUCCAGCUGUAAAAUGGAGAUAAUAACCUUGGUGUAAGACAGAUUAAAUAAUGUCUUGUACAAAAAGUGCUGAGGGUAGCGUUUGAUACAUAGUGCACCCAGAAACAAUAGCCCUUGCUGUGAUCUUAAUAUACAGCAUCUACACAAUAUCUAAAAUCGAUUUAAAUAAAUUCAGUGGAUUUUUUUUCCAAGUAAUAAUAUCUUCCUAACUUAAAAAAUUUUAAAUAAAAAUAGAAUUUAGAAGCUCAUGUUUUUCGCCAACUGAUAAAGGAUAUACAUUUGGCAGGAAGGAAUAUACUGAUAGUUUUUCUAGUAUCUUUCAAGACAUAUGUUCAGCAAUAAUCUUUGAUGAGAUAAAACUAAAACCACAUUAAAAUUAAGUAAAAAUGUUCUCUGUAUUAAGCAGAAAAUUUACAAGGCAAAGUUAUCAUAGUAAAUAUUGAUACAAAGUCUUAUGUUCAGAAAUUCUUUCAUAGCACUAAUAAUAUUACAGGGUAGAUAUCUAAGCUGUGGCUUUUAUUAGGGCAUGGUGACACUUUCCCAAACUCAGAUGACUGAGUUCAAAUUGGAUUGUUAAAGAAGGCAGUUCAGACUAUGAUAGUAAGAAAGAUAAAGGCUGCUUAUUGAAAAUUCCUCAGAACACUUCAGUCCCCUUUGGGAAAAGAGCAUUUGCCUUUGGAAAUUCACACAGGCACUAGUGUCUCUUCCAACCAAGAUUCAGAGGUUGACUCUUUUAUUUCUAUGUCAGUGCAGGUGCCCUCUUUUCUCUUUGUUUUUCACCAAGAAUAUAAGAUCCUUCUCUAGUAGUCCCUGAACUCAUGGUUAUUUAAUAUAUCAGAAAUAAUAUUUAUUGUAGUUUUAAUGUUUUGUCAUCCUGGUUUUAAAAGUUAAAUAUUCAUUUAACAGAAAAAAUAUAUAACCAAAAUUUGAAUGUUAAAUAUUGUUGGACUGUCAUGUCAUUUUAUGGAAUAAUAUCUCUUGUACUUACAGAGAUGGAUAGGAUCUUAUAAUGUCAUCUCUUUGUGCCUGCCAUCUUUAGACUACCAGGCAGUAUGUAUUAGGAUGACAUUCUAAAAUCCAAAUGUUUAUUUUUGAAUUUGAUAAUAAGGGAUGGAAAUUUUGGCCCUUCCUUGGUUAUAUGUAUUAUUGCUAUUCUUUCUCUGUGAGAAUUAUUUUGACAUUCCCAUAUAAAGGAUGCACAAAACAACUUGAAAACUUCUACUUUAAAAGUAGAAGCAGGUAGAUACAAAACAUGUAAUUAAUUGUCCUAAUGGGUGGUGCAGUUGGAAAGUGCUCAGAAAGAUAAAAGGUACAGAUUAGUUGGGUAAGGUUAGGCACUCUAGGCAUAACAGAAAAGGUAGAACUAAGAGUCGAAGGAUGGAUCUAUGAAGACAGAGGAAAAGGCUUUUAUAAAGGGAGAUAAAAAUGAGAAAAGGUAGUGAGGUAAAAAUUAAUGUGUUAAGUGGUUCUCAGGGAUGCAGCCUGCCUAAAACCAUUAGAGGUUGGAGGUAGUAGUAGAGAUGUGACCUUAUUAGCAUGAAUUUGGCAUACUAGAAUGAAGAAUUUGCAUCUAAUUCUAUAGAAUGUAUGAAGACUGAUGUGAUAAAAGUACUAUUUUAGGAAAACCCAGAGACCAGUGCCACUGCUGUUACAUACAUAAUAAUGCUGGAAUCGGAAGAGAUGCACAUGGACUCAGAGAAACUGCAUUUCUAAGCAUGAUUUUAGAUUCCAAACAAAAACUUUUUGUCAUGAAACAUUUUAAUGAUAUAACUUAUAGAAGCAGGACAAUAGUGAAAUUAUUUGGUGUAAGAAAUUUGCAGAUAUUAAUGUGUAUUAGAGGUACACUCUUUAAAUCAGUGAGUACCUGUUUUAACUGUUCUUUGAAUAGUUUCUUUUUUUCUUCACGCAGAAACAUUUAGAAAUAGCUGACUGAAAGUUGUAUAAUGUACAAUUUCUUAUAAGAUCAUUGUAUUCUUCUGUUGGGGAAUGGCCCUGGAAAGUGUAUCUUACACAAAACAAUAUAUUCUUUUCUGGCAAAAAUUUAUAAUUUAAUAGCUCCACUGAAACAGACUCUUGACUACCAAGAAUGUUCUAAGGCUGGGCUUCUCGGCUUGGGUUACAGAGUAGUGGAAAUCCCCCAGUAACCCCAGCAGUUGCUUCUAAGAAACAGGUAUAGGAGCCUGUGGCUUGCAUCACCCAACUGGGGGGGCCCCUGGAAGUCUGGCUGCCUUGAUGUCUCUUCUUGAAGGCUCUGAAGAAAUGGCUUGGGCUGGGAAGGUGGGUGCUUGUUGGCCAGGGUCUUCAUUCAUUGCAGGCUGUUCUUAAACACCUGAGGCCUUUCUGGUAACCAGAGGGCACUGUGGCUUCUCCAGAACAUAGCUUUGUCAUAGGCCUACAUAGAGCAAGCUUGGGGUGCUUUUGGCCAGGGUGUUGUGGGUCUUCUGGCUUAUUGCACCUGGUUCACAGGGACCCAGGGAUGCCUUGCUUGCACCCUCAUGGAAUUGUCACAUCUCUCCAGAUUAUCCUUAUAUUCUCUACUUGCAGGAAAAGCUUGAUCAAGGCUACUGGGUCUGUCUUGAUCACAUAGACAGACAGAGUCUGUGCUGAGUUUGGCCUGUCAAGGGGGGCUGCUGGUGCCUUGCUCUCGUCACUGCUGCCCACUGUUUUGCUGCUAAAAUGAACAGGAUAUGAUUACACACACACACACAUAGAUGAUGAUGACUAGUGGAUAUGUAGCAGGUGGUGGGCAAGGGUCUACUCAGAGUAACAGGUCAAAUACAACACAACUUCCCAAAGUGACAAAUUUCCUAAAGAUCUAGGGAGAAAAGAUUCAUUUUAUAGCAAGAGACACAUGAUUAUAUUAGUAAAAUGCAAAAAUUCAUCUGAAUUUUUAACUUAAACUUGAGAUGUCAAAUUUUAUGCUUAUUGUUGGAUUUAUUCUUCUUAUGUAUUAGGGCUAUUAAAAAGAAAAAAAGGAUGAGAAGCUCAGUUUUAAAGGAAUGGAGAACUUUUGGAAUCCAUAGGCCUUAUGUUGAAACUUGUGGGUCGUUUGACUGUCUUUGAAAUAAUUAUUUCUAUUCUUUUUUUUUUUUUUUUUUGAGGCAGAGUCUCAUUCUGUUGCCCAGGCUAGAGUGCAGUGGCGCGGUCUCAGCUCACUGCAGUCUUCGUCUCCCAGGUUUAAGCAAUUCUCCUACCUCAGCCUCCCGAGUAGCUGGGAUUAUAGGUGCAUGCCACUAUGCCCAGCUAAUUUUUGUAUUUUUUAGUAGAGAUGGGGUUUCACUAUGUUGGCCAGACUGAUCUCGAACUCCUGACCUCAAGUUAUCUGCCCGCCUCAGCUUCACAGAGUGCUGAGAUUACAGAGUUGAGCCACUAUUUCAGUGCUGUCCCUGGAGAAAUUUGUAAGUUGGACCUGAUUGACUAUUACAUCCUUGACGAACCAGGCUUUAAUUUCAUAGAUGUCUUUAAAUAAUUUCAUAGAUGUCUUUAAAUCCUCAAGUUCUAGGGCUUUCAUCAACAACAUAUCCAUUAUUAUUCAUUAUGAAAAAACAGCUAGGUCUGAAUUUGUUGUCUAUGAUCUUUGGUGUUACUGACCACAGUUUUUAAUUGUCUUGCCUCUGAGAGCUCAUAAAAGAUACCCCAUGAGAAUAUUAAUAAGUAAAUUACUGUUAAUCCCUGUAGACGUUUAUGUAUUAGGUUCUGUUUUGUCAUCCAGGUGUUUAAUGUACAUGCCCAGUCCCAGGAGACAGAAUAUAGUCUUUUCGUCUAUAAUAUCAUUAAUUUGAUUUGAUAAUGAAUAUUUUGCCUUUUUCUAAAAA